rnacentral:rRNA from 1 species
UACGAAGGGGGCUAGCGUUGUUCGGAAUUACUGGGCGUAAAGCGCACGUAGGCGGGUCGUUAAGUCAGGGGUGAAAUCCCGGAGCUCAACUCCGGAAUUGCCUUUGAUACUGGCGAUCUUGAGAUCGGAAGAGGUGAGUGGAAUUCCCAGUGUGGAGGUGAAAUUCGUAGAUAUUGGGAAGAACACCAGUGGCGAAGGCGGCUCUCUGGGACGGUACUGACGCUGAGACGCGAAAGCGUGGGGAGCGAACAGG